GUGGGGAAUAUUGGACAAUGGGCGAAAACCUGAUCCAGCCAUGCCGCGUGUGUGAAGAAGGUCUUCGGAUUGUAAAGCACUUUAAGUUGGGAGGAAGGGCAGUAAGUUAAUACCUUGCUGUUUUGACGUUACCGACAGAAUAAGCACCGGCUAACUUCGUGCCAGCAGCCGCGGUAAUACGAAGGGUGCAAGCGUUAAUCGGAAUUACUGGGCGUAAAGCGCGCGUAGGUGGUUUUGUAAGUUGGAGGUGAAAUCCCCGGGCUCAACCUGGGGACUGCCUCCAAAACUGCAUGACUAGAGUACGGUAGAGGGUAGUGGAAUUUCCUGUGUAGCGGUGAAAUGCGUAGAUAUAGGAAGGAACACCAGUGGCGAAGGCGACUACCUGGACUGAUACUGACACUGAGGUGCGAAAGCGUGGGGAGCAAACAGGAUUAGAAACCCUUGUAGUCC
rnacentral:rRNA from 1 species